UACGAAGGGUGCUAGCGUUGCUCGGAAUUACUGGGCGUAAAGCGCGCGUAGGCGGUUUGUUAAGUCAGGGGUGAAAUCCUGGAGCUCAACUCCAGAACUGCCUUUGAUACUGGCGAUCUCGAGUCCGGAAGAGGUGAGUGGAACUGCGAGUGUAGAGGUGAAAUUCGUAGAUAUUCGCAAGAACACCAGUGGCGAAGGCGGCUCACUGGCCCGGUACUGACGCUGAGGUGCGAAAGCGUGGGGAGCAAACAGG
rnacentral:rRNA from 1 species